GGGCGAAUGGUUUAGUGGUAUAAUACUCCCUUAGCAUAAUUCAGCCUUCUGAAUAAUCUGGGAGUGGUCCAGGGUUCGAUUCCCUGUUCGUCCA
rfam:Fusarium verticillioides 7600 chromosome 7, whole genome shotgun sequence.